AAUUACAUUUGCAGAGUUAAGGAUAGUGGGAGUUGGCACCUAGACCUCACCAAUGGGCAGAAGUGGUCUGGGUGCCUGGAGUAUCCCUUUAAUUUCAAACAUUCAAGAUAUGGAAAUAGUGACAAUUAUAUGACAAGUUGUACAAAAACGCUAAAUUCAAUAGCAUUGUUACAACUAAUUGACUGGCAAGAAUUAUUCUCUGGUAAAAUCACAUAGGAUAAAAGGUAGGUCUUUAAACAAAUUCUACAAAAGUACACUUCUCAAUACAUACCACUGGGAAACAAAUAUAAAAUAAGCAAAUUAAAACCAAUGUGGCUUGAUGAGAUGAGAAAAUGUCAUUCAAAAACAUUUA